rnacentral:misc_RNA from 1 species
AAGUCGUAACAAGGUUUCCGUAGGUGAACCUGCGGAAGGAUCAUUACUGAAGCAUUUGCAAUGGUUUGUUGCUGCCUCGCAAGAGGACCCCUUUCUGUGCACGCCAUUCAAUCUUCUAUUUUACCACCUGUGCACCUUUCAUAGAUUAUGAGUAAAUCCCUCACUGUAACAAGUGGAUCUGAGAGCUUAGCAGGUUUUUUAAAACUUGCUUGCUUUCAAAUGUAUUCAUAAUUUAUGUUCUCUUUUAUACACACUUUUUGAUUUAUGAAUGUAUUGAUUUAUGGAUUUUUAUCUGUAUAAAUGUAAAUACAACUUUCAGCAACGGAUCUCUUGGCUCUC